UGUGUGUGUGUGUGUGUGUGUUCCGGGGUAUUUAGCAUUACCCGGGAAGAAAUGGCACUAUUGAUUAUGUGAUGCUGUGGUAAAAUAUUCUAUUGUUAAACAUUAGAUCCUGGAACUCAUAUGGAUGUUAUCCUGACAUGGACCCCCUACCUAAACAUAGACCAAGUACAAUCAUUCGUGACAAAGGAUAAUGCACCCAGGCUAACAUUGCAACAGAAUGGGUUGAGGAAAAUGGCAGAGUUCACGAUGUUGACCUCCAAACUCCCCAGAUCCAAAUUCGAUUGAACAUCAGGAUGAGCAGGACAAACAAAUCCAAUCCAUAAAGGCCUAACCUUGUGAAUUACAGGACUUAAAGGAUCUUCUUAUAAAGGCUUGGUGCAAGAUGCCACACCAUACCUUCAGAGAUCUUGUUGAGUCCAGGCCUCAACAGGGCAGAUAGAGCUGUUUGAUGGCACAAGGGCAUUUACACAGUAUAAGGGAGCAUUGAGCAUGCUUGCCUCAACUCAACUCAACUGAUCAUCUAGGAAUGACACCAACACAAUGGUGUCAGGCCUAAGUGACUCACGAAAUCCAAUUCCCUGAACACCCCAGAGGAUCCACCUUUCCUGACCCCCAGGGUUGCGGUAGACCUGGAGCUUUUCCCAGAAGCACAUUGGCAGUAAGCAGGAAUACAUCCUGGGUUGGAUGCCAAUCAAUCACAGGGCAUUAUAUUUACCUAGUAAUCAAAUGCAUUCUUAAAAUUCUAUACAGCAAUAGAUAUUACACAACCAAGCAAUAACUAUUCUUUUGAGCGGAAUUUUUUUAUUUUUUUUUACAUAUUUUAGACCAUGAUUAUACCCCCUAAUUGCACCCCCAAGCGUAGACUUUAGCAGUAGCCCUCCUAUUGCCUGACUUUCCCCACAAGUGAACUAGAGCUAGUAGUGGGUCAGGAUAAAAGAUCUGACAAGCUGGUUUUGCUCACAGCUCACCUCCCAUUCUGUCGGUCAUCCAGGCAUCAGUGCUCUAAAUCCCAAGGAUCUGCCUGACUCACACUCUUCACUGGAGGGUGAGAUUGAACAGAUGGUGUAACCGUGUUGGAUAGUAUGUCUGCCGCUGUACUGUAGUUUAGAACAUCAAAGAGCACUCUGAUAGCACAUGAAAGCAAACAAUUUUCUGUUUAGGCUGCACACUUUAGAUGACAUUAAGGGCACAUCGCUAUUAAUCUGAAUAAAUUCGAAAACUAAUACAUUUCUCUAUACUUUGGCCCUCCACGCACAAUAAAAUGUGUUUUUAUCAAUUGAAAAUAAAACUUUUUGAAAGCAUUCUCCUAAGUGGGUGUUUUGAAAAUGCCAUUUAUGCAUUGUAGUGAAAAAGCACACAUUUAUUUUUAUUUUUCAAUUGCAAGGUAAGUGGUGGUUCUUAUGUUCUGUCUCUUGGUGACAACUGAGAAGCCGUUUAGAAAUGGAGCCAUUGUUGUUAUUGCAUAGGCUAUUUCUUCGGGAAGACUUUUUUUUUUUCUCAACUGUGUGUAGUUAAUCAGAGGGACUUUAAAUGACUCCUUAUACAUACAAGUCAAGAACCUUUUAUUGCCAUUUCUACCAUAUAUAGCUGAUGCAGUACACAGUGAAAUGAGACAACGUUCCUCCUGAACCCUGGUGGUACAUUUAACAACAUAGAGCUGAAUCACACAACCUAAAGUUGCAUAACAGAACACAGAGCUAAAGACUAAAGAAAGUGUCCUUGCCACAUAAAGUGCAUCGUGUGCAACAGUGCAAACAGUGCAGGCAAAAAACAGUACAGACAGACAACACAAGACAGUGUGGGACAGAUACACAAAACACAGAAUACAAAAUAGCGCUGACCAGUAAACCUAUUGUAUAAUAUGUUAUACAGUAAUGUGCAAAGAAGACUAUAAAUAAGAGUGUAUUUUAAACAUCAACACAAUGUAGUUCACAAUAAAGCAGUAGCAGCACUCAAAAGGUGCAAAACUGCAUGUAAACAGUAUAAUAUGAUUAU